rnacentral:misc_RNA from 1 species
GAUGAAGAACGUAGCGAAAUGCGAUAAGUAAUGUGAAUUGCAGAAUUCAGUGAAUCAUCGAAUCUUUGAACGCACAUUGCGCCCGCCAGUAUUCUGGCGGGCAUGCCUGUUCGAGCGUAAUUUCAACCAUCAAGCCCUGCUUGCGUUGGGGUCCUGCGGCUGCCCGCAGGCCCUGAAAACCAGUGGCGGGCUCGCUAGUCACACCGAGCGCAGUAAUACAUCUCGCUUUGGGCGUGCGGCGGGUUCUUGCCGUUAAACACCCCCUUUUUACCAAGGUUGACCUCGGAUCAGGUAGGAAUACCCGCUGAACUUAAGCAUAUCAAUAAGCGGAGGA